ensembl:lncRNA
UUACCAGAAGUUUCACAGGGAUUUAUUGUGAAAUUACAUUUUUGACAUUUACACAAAAAUAGGCAAAUGUACUAAAAUACAAAGUUAAAUAAAUAAUACAUUCUUUCGAUUGUAAAAGAGAGACAGUCAGAAUUCAGAAUGACAAUUUAAAUAGUUUGUCAUAAUAUAUAAGCCCCUCAAAUAUUAACAGGCUUUCUAGAAUCUAUGCUAAAAAUUAACUGCCUUGUAAGGAUUCAGUUCUUCUUCCCUGCUCAAUUGCUAAUAUAACAUACACAAUAAAAUUUCUUAGCAAAAUAUAAUUCAGAGGCACCAUCUGAUCUGAGAUCUCAGAUUCUAACAUGUUAUGGCUUUUAAUAUGAACACUGUAUAACAAGAAUUUAAACAAAUUAUGGCAAGUAAAUUAAAACAUUUAUAUUUUAACAUCUAUAGACUUUAUUAGGUGUUCCUUAUACAGUCAUCUGGUAUGUUUAAAGAGUGAGCAAUCAUAUAAAAGGAAAUAUGGUCAUAACUGAUUGAAGUAAUAAAAUCCUGAAACUAAAUAACAUCUCAUAAUUCAUUGCAUAGCAUAUAUUAGAUUUCAUUACAUCAGUAUAUAGCUUAGUAGUAAAUUCUCCUGAUGGCCAUAAACCUUUAAGGUGUUGUCAUCCUGAAAAACGAAGGGGAGGAGUUGGUGGGGGCACAGAAGGGAUAAAUCUUCAACAGCGCUGGUGUGGCGUACCUUGAAGUUGUAAAGUUGUAGCGCAUCGCCACCUACUGGCCAGAUUUAGUACCUUAUUCCAAUAAAGGGACGUUUCCCUAUAGUAUUUUUCUAAAGAGUAAUGUGUCUCCUUCACUCUUUGACUGUAUUCAUCUCUGAUACUGUAGUUCCUAAAAUUCAUGUCACUCAUACAACGUAAAUCCAUCUGCACUUCACCCACCAGGCUGUGAAGGAUUUGGUUAGCAUAGUUUUGAGAUGCGCCUAAAUUUUUAAUUCCAAGUACUUUGGUUAUUUUCAAAGCUGGGUGUCUGUAUUAACAAAACUCCAUCCUGUUCGUGAAUAUAGAAGGGUUAUUAUGGCUAUAGGAAUUUUGGACUUUGGCCCAGUUUUAUUAUCAAUGAGUCUGUUAGCAAGUCAGAAGUAAUGCAGAGCUAAUACUGCAUUAUUAUAUAAAGGGAAUCUUUAAAGUAAAUGGCUACAUGAAAUCAUUACCAAAAUCCACAGUUUGGAUUUUAUUAAGAUUCUAGAAUUUAAAAAUAGGCAAUGAGGGGGCCGGCCUGGUGGCACAGUGGUUAAGUUUGUGCGCUCCACUUUGAGAGCCCAGGGUUUGUUGGUUCAGAUCCCUGCUGCAGACCUACGCGUGGCUUAUCAAGUCGUGCUGUGACAACAUCCCACAUAUGAAAUAGACGGAGAGGGGCACAGAUGUUAGCUCAGGGACAACCUUCCUCAGGAAAGAAAAAACCAACAACAAAAAAUACAGACAAUGGUGCCGCUAGUGAAGAUUUCUUCACUAAAAUUUUGGUACCAUUCAUAGAGCAUCACAAGUAUUUCAGCCACGAGAACUCAGUUUGGGAACAUUACCACACAUCUCUGUGCACUUUGGGAUUAGGAGCAGAGUCAGCAUUUGGGGUCUGAGGCCCCAGAUCCCUUACUCUGCUUCCUAUGCCAUGACAACGUGAAGGUUGGGUGAUGCACUCCAAUAAUGAACAUAAGCCAGGUGUCCAUUUUUUGGAUGGAACUGCAAAGUACAGUAAAAUAGAAAAACAGAAAGUAAAACACUUCAGAGUAAACGAAUCUUACUUUGAAGAAACUAUAUACUCGAAACCUAAAUCAACCUC